rnacentral:rRNA from 1 species
UACGAAGGGGGCUAGCGUUGUUCGGAAUUACUGGGCGUAAAGCGCACGUAGGCGGGUCGUUAAGUCAGGGGGUGAAAUCCCAGAGCUCAACUCUGGAACUGCCUUUGAUACUGGCGACCUAGAGUCCGGAAGAGGUUAGUGGAAUUCCCAGUGUAGAGGUGAAAUUCGUAGAUAUUGGGAAGAACACCAGUGGCGAAGGCGGCUAACUGGUCCGGUACUGACGCUGGAGGUGCGGAAAGCGUGGGGAGCAAACCGGG